UUCCUACGGGAGGCAGCAGUGGGGAAUAUUGGGCAAUGGGCGCAAGCCUGACCCAGCAACGCCGCGUGAAGGAAGAAGGCCCUCGGGUUGUAAACUUCUUUUAACAGGGACGAAGAAAGUGACGGUACCUGUUGAAUAAGCCACGGCUAACUACGUGCCAGCAGCCGCGGUAAUACGUAGGUGGCAAGCGUUAUCCGGAUUUACUGGGUGUAAAGGGCGUGUAGCCGGGUUGACAAGUCAGAUGUGAAAUCCUGCGGCUUAACCGCAGAACUGCAUUUGAAACUGUUGAUCUUGAGUACUGGAGG
rnacentral:rRNA from 1 species